UACAGGGGGUGCAACCGUUGCUCGGAAUCAUUGGGCGUAAAGCGCACGUAGGCGGUUCGUUAUGUCGGAUGUGAAAGCCCUUGGCUUAACCGAGGAAGUGCAUCCGAAACUGGCGAGCUAGAGUACGAAAGAGGAUCGCGGAAUUCCCGGUGUAGAGGUGAAAUUCGUAGAUAUCGGGAGGAACACCGGUGGCGAAGGCGGCGAUCUGGGUCGAUACUGACGCUGAGGUGCGAAAGCUAGGGGAGCAAACAGG
rnacentral:rRNA from 1 species